rnacentral:lncRNA from 1 species
UUUUUUUUCUGAUUGCAGAGGUCAUAUGUAUUCUGUGUGGAGAAUUUGGAAGAUGAAGAAAAGUACAAAUCCUAUCAACCGUAACAUCUCCUGCAUUUCAUAAAACAAUGAUAUCACUUUCAAAUGUGUAAAUGAGAAGCUUAUUUUAAGAACACAAUUUUUCUUUUCCAUUAAAUUUGCAUCUAGUAGAGUAAGCUUAGGGAGAAAUUAGCCCUUCUGAUUGUUAUUUAGCAUUAUUUUACUUUGUGUUUACUUACACACAUUUUUUUUUUUUAAUGGCCACACCAGCAGCAUAUGGAAAUUCCAGGGCCAGGGGUUGAAUCUGAGCUGCAGCUGUGGAAAUGCCAGAUCCUUUUAAAACCACUGUGCCAGGCCAGGGAUUAAGCCUGAAGUGUCUCAGCAGCUAUCUGAGCCAAUGCCGUCACAUUCUUAACCCACUGGGCCACAGCGGGAACUCCUUCCUUACAUUAUUAUUACUAAAAGUAAACUCUCUUCCCGGAGCACUUAGCAUGUGUGGGGCAGAAUGCUAAGCACAGCACAUGAAUUAUCUCACUUUGUCCUCCCAAGAAACCCAGAAGAUUGGCAUGAAUUCCGUUAACUUAAUACAGGUGGGUUAGUGGAAGAAUCAGAGUGAUUAUAUAAGGCAGCCAAGGUCCCUCAGCUGGUAAUGUGGGAAACCAGGAUUCAUACCCAAUCCUCUGCAAUCAUUCCACUCCCUCAUCGGGGAAAGGAACGGAGGGAAGGAGGGAAUUUAUGGAACCUCGCCUUGUCAGUCCUGGUGCUGGUUGCGUGCCUUGCUGAUCGUGUUCAAUCUUCACAGCCCCACAAGAUUCUUGUCUCUGGAUGUCCCUCACACUAUCACAGUGGUGAAACUCUCUCACAGACUUGUCUCAUCUUUCAGCAGUAGGUAUUCAGAUCUAGGUAUGUAUACUCAAAGUUGGGGGGUAAAUGUUAAUCAGAUACACGUUGAUUUUCAAGCCAUUAAAACAGAUGACGGCUAAAUAUAUAAGGGUUAUAUGUAUUUUCACCUAGAAGUAAAACUACCAGAGCUCUAAACCAAAAGACAAGUUUGGGUCCCAGCUAUGCAUAUGGGUUUUGAGGUUUCGCGUCAGUUCAGUUUUGAAAAUCCAGACAAAGUAAUUUGUAAAUAAGUAAAAUAAUAAUUUGGUAGGUUGACUUUUUCACUUUUCAACCAGUUUUACGUUCCUUAGCUACAAUCUGUAUAUUAGCAAAUGACACAAUGAGGAGUUCUUGUUUUGGCUCAGUAGGUUAAAGACCCAACAUUGCCUCUGUGAGGAUGCAGGUUCAAUCCCUGGCUUGGCUCCUUGUGUUAAGGCAGCUUGGAUCCAGUGUUGCCAUGGCUGUGGUGUAGAUCCCAGCUGCAGCUCCAAUUUGAUCCCUGGCUUGGAAACUUUCAUAUGCCGCUGGUGCAACUGUGAAAAGAAAAAGAAAAAGAAAGAAAAUAACAUAAUGAUUGGUAGCGUGAGUUUACGAAUGAUAAUAAAUCCAAGAAAGAAAGGGAGAGAGGAAGGGAG